rnacentral:lncRNA from 1 species
AUUCUCCCUCUCUCUACAGCUAUCAGCUGCCUAAAGCUUUUCUUCUUUAAGGGGUGAAUACAGAAGAGCACCCCUCUCUGAGUUUGGGCUGGCUUGAUCUUAUGCAGGUACACACAGCUUCUGUCAAUUCAUGAUGGUGGUCACUGUGUCACGUCCAGAAGACAGCAUCUGUUUGCAGUGACAGCAGUCAAUUCGAAGAUGCAAGAUUGGUCAGAGUACCAAGAGUAAGGGACUAUGUGCGAUUUUCAGAGAGGUGGUGAGAUGCAGUUUGGUUCCUGCCUCCAGAUUCCUGCCCUGACUUCCCUAGAUGAUGGACUGCAAGCUGUACAAAGAAGUAGACUUUCUCCUCUGAAGUUGCUUUUGGCCAUGGUAUUUUAUCACAGCAGUGCAGACCCUGAGAUUUCAGACAUGGACUAUUACAGAAAACAACAACUCAUCAAACUGCAGAGUUGUGGAGCCCAGUCCCAGUGGAUACAUCUCCAAAACAACUAACUGCAUCUAAGGCUCUGGGAGUAUUUUGGAAGAGGGGCAAAAAGGUUCUAAGAACUAGAGGAUCAGGGAACAAGCCGUGGGGCUAUGUCUCCUAGUAAUGCCGGAAGUUACCCAUAAUGUGUCAGCAAUGUGACUGCCUAAACACGAGCAGAACAAGGACAACAAUACACAUGCCUAACUGGAAUGGGGAAAGGUACUAGGCCUCAGCCCUAUACUAAGAACAAUAGGAAACUAACAAAUAUUG